UUGAUCCUGGCUCAGAAUCAACGCUGGCGGCGUGCCUAACACAUGCAAGUCGAACGCGAAAGGGGAGCAAUCCCUGAGUAGAGUGGCAAACGGGUGAGUUACACGUGGGUGACCUGCCUUCGAGUGGGGGAUAACGUCCCGAAAGGGACUCUAAUACCGCAUGACAUCCUGCUUUUGGAAAAGCGGAGAUCAAAGCUGGUGAUCGCAAGACCUAGCGCUUGAAGAGGGGCCCGCGCCUGAUUAGCUAGUUGGUGGGGUAAUGGCUCACCAAGGCUACGAUCAGUAUCCGGCCUGAGAGGUCGGACGGACACACUGGGACUGAGACACGGCCCAGACUCCUACGGGAGGCUGCAGUGGGGAAUUGUUCGCAAUGGGCGCAAGCCUGACGACGCAACGCCGUGUGGAGGAUGAAGAUCUUCGGGUCGUAAACUCCUGUCGAGCGGGAAGAAUAGCUCUGGGGUAAAUAUCUCCAGAGCCUGACGGUACCGCUAAAGGAAGCUCCGGCUAACUCCGUGCCAGCAGCCGCGGUAAUAAGGU
rnacentral:rRNA from 1 species